rnacentral:lncRNA from 1 species
GGGAUGAGAGGCUCAGGGGAGACAGGUGGCUGGUGGGGGCGGGGGAGUGGGAAACUGAGAGGCCAGAAGGCAGGGAAGACAGAAAGCUGGAGGUGGGAUGGAAAAGGAGGCCAGGGGAUCAGAAAGGGGGAUGGCAGGGAAAACUGAGAGGACAGGAGACUAGGGGUAUAGAAAGUCGGGGGACAGGAGGUGGGGAGGUGGAGGCCAGGUGAUAGGAGGCUGAGUGGGGUGGGAGAGACUGAGAGAAUGGGAGGCUGGGGAUCAGAAGGAGAGGAGGGGGAUGAGGGUAGGGGGAUUGUAGAAGGGGAGGGGAAAAGGGCAGGGAGGUGUGGGGAGGGGACAGAGCUUGCGGGGAUGGGUGGAGGGACAGAUAGGGGCAUGGGAGGUCAGGGGCCAGGCAGGGAGUGCAGGUCUAGGCUGCACUGUCCCCUCAGCAAGAAGUUCCUGUGGGAGGAGCUGGAACUGGUGCGGGAGGAGGUGACCUUCAUCUAUCAGAAGCUCCAAGCGCAGGAGGAUGAGAUCUCAGAGAACCUGGUGAACAUUCAGAAAAUGCAGAAAACGCAGGUGAAAUGCCGCAAAGUGAGUGGAGGAGAUGGGGACCCUGGGGAGGAGUGGGAGAGGGAGGGAUGGGGAUUUUGGCCAGCCUCCACCAUGAGAUUGGAGCCUGGGUUCAAAUCUCAGCUCUGCCACUCACU